rnacentral:rRNA from 1 species
UUGCAGGGGUGCUCGAGUGGCGAACGGGUGAGUAACACGUGGGUGAUCUGCCUUGUACUCUGGGAUAAGCUUGGGAAACUGGGUCUAAUACCGGAUAGGAACUGCCUUUAGUGUGGUGGUUGGAAAGUUUUUUCGGUGCAAGAUGAGCUCGCGGCCUAUCAGCUUGUUGGUGGGGUAAUGGCCUACCAAGGCGUCGACGGGUAGCCGGCCUGAGAGGGUGUACGGCCACAUUGGGACUGAAAUACGGCCCAGACUCCUACGGGAGGCAGCAGUGGGGAAUAUUGCACAAUGGGCGGAAGCCUGAUGCAGCGACGCCUCGUGGGGGAUGACGGCCUUCGGGUUGUAAACUCCUUUCGACAGGGACGAAGCUUUUUGUGACGGUACCUGUAUAAGAAGCACCGGCUAACUACGUGCCAGCAGCCGCGGUAAUACGUAGGGUGCGAGCGUUGUCCGGAAUUACUGGGCGUAAAGAGCUCGUAGGUGGUUUGUCGCGUCGUCUGUGAAAUUCCGGGGCUUAACUCCGGGCGUGCAGGCGAUACGGGCAUAACUUGAGUGCUGUAGGGGAGACUGGAAUUCCUGGUGUANCGGUGAAAUGCGCAGAUAUCAGGANGAACACCCGAUGGCGAAGGCAGGUCUCCUGGGCAGUUACUGACGCUGAGGAGCGAAAGC